GUAUCUUCCACCUGGAACCAUUAACAGGUGUGUGGGGGCGGAGGGAAGCCUUUUGGCUGAACACGGUGGCAGCAGGAGGUCGUGCACAGGUAUAAACUGGUGUGAUGGACAGAAGAUUGGCUGGGAAUUAAAGGCUGCGAGCCUUCUCUCAGCACCGUGGGGCAGCUGACAGGCACAGCUCUCCUCCCUGGUUCACAGGGGAAAGAGGAUUUGCCUUGAAGACCAUUGCUGAGGAAUGAGACCGACAUUCUCAGUGCGUCUGUGGGCUGCAGCACCUUUACAGCAUUUCUGGAUCUGCAGCAUCUAACGUUCCAAUGGCUGGAACGGUUCUGGACAGAGAUGAAUCACAGUAAUAUUCCACGGAGGACAGUGAACCCACCCAGAGGAAAUCCAUGUUGCCAUUGAUUUCUGAGGUUUCCAUGGUCAUGUUAUUGCACAACUGCAACAGCCUUUCUAUUCAACAGAGCGACGGACGUAUGCUGAUGGCUCAUCUGCAGCGUUAUCAAUCCAGCUUUCAUUCCCUGCACUGCCAUGAGGAAGUCUGUGCUGCCUUAAUCAUCCCAUCCCAACAUCGGCUGCUCAUUCUUUUAAUUACCAAUCUGAGGAUUGCCAUUGCUGCUGUCUGUGAAGCAGUUCUCUUCCAAGAUGCAAUUACUGAGACAACCAAUUGCCUCAGCAUCAUUAAGAUGCAUGGAUGUUUCAGAAACAAUUAAGCUUGUUAGCUAUAUACAUAUCAUCAGAGGUGUUUGAGGGGGCGGUUUGGCUUGAUGAAUAAAAGCUUAUCAGCAGGAACAAAUACUGCAGACUGAACACUAAAUGGCUAAAUGAACACAUUUGAAAAUGAAUAAUGAAUUGUGUCCAAGUAAGACAGGGCUGACUGCAUGUAGAAUGUUAGGAGAAAUAAUGGUUUUUGUAUUAAGUGGUUUUACAUUAAAAUGAAUGAAGCAAAUGGCAAUAAAACACCAGCAAUUCAACAGAAAUAAAGCAAAAGGAAAGUUUGAAAAGCUUUGGGGGUCCUGGUCGGCUGAGUGGUUCAGCAUCUUUGUCAAUCAGGAAUAGGAUUACUGUGGAGGGACAUUGUGCUGGACAUCAUGGGCUGGAUCAGUGGUGAGGCAGAAAGACAGAGAUGGGCUCAUCAGGGUGACGGCAGGGUGAGUUGGAGUCUAGGAUUAUGGGUCAAUAAUGCUGUUUGGAUCAAAAGGUCAGCACCAGGAAGACAGAAGAAAUAAACAAAUUAAACAAAGUGCAAAAAUAAAAUGUAAAAAUAUUUUUGGGAAAAAAGGUGAUCAUAUACAAAUGCUGGC
rnacentral:lncRNA from 1 species